UACGUAGGGGCAAGCGUUGUCCGGAUUUAUUGGGCGUAAAGAGCGUGUAGGCGGCUUGGAAGGUCAGCUGUGAAACUCGAGGCUCACCUCGAGACGUCGGUGAAACCACCUGGCUAGAGUCCGGAAGAGGAGAGUGGAAUUCCCGGUGAUGAGCGGUGAAAUGACGCAGAUAUCGGGAAGAACACCCGUGGCGAGGCGGCUCUCUGGGACGGUAUUGACGCUGAGACGCGAAACGUGGGGAGCGAACGAGG
rnacentral:rRNA from 1 species